CGAUGACUGGGGUGAAGUCGUAACGAGGUAGCCGUAGGUGAACCUGCAGUAGGAUCA
rnacentral:rRNA from 1 species